rnacentral:rRNA from 1 species
GACGAACGCUGGCGGCGUGCUUAACACAUGCAAGUCGUACGGUAAGGCCCUUUCUGGGGUCCACGAGUGGCGCACGGGUGAGUAGCACGUGAGUAACCUGCCCACAACUUUGGGAUAACGCUAGGAAACUGGGGCUAAUUCUGGAUAUGUUCUCCUGCUGCAUGGUGGGGGUUGGAAAGCUCCGGCGGUUGUGGAUGGACUCGCGGCCUAUCAGCUUGUUGGUGGGGUAGUGGCCUACCAAGGCGGCGACGUGUAGCCGGACUGAGAGGGUGACCGGCCAUACUGGGACGUAGAGACGGCCCAGACGCCUACGGGAGGCAGCAGUGGGGAAUAUUGCACAAUGGGCGCAAGCCUGAUGCAGCAAGGCCGCGUGCGGGAGGACGGCCUUCGGGUUGAAAACCGCUUUCAGCAGGGAAGAAGCUUUUUGUGACGGUACCUGCAGAAGAAGCACCGGCUAACUACGUG